UCGGGGAAGGGGCUGGGUGAUGAGCAACAAUCAGUAUCACAUCAGAGAUCCGGCAGCGGGGAGGAGAGCAGUGGAGACCCAGAAUGCUCAGGAAAACAUCAAGAGAAAAUGGGAUAGAGUAAAGAGCAGAAGGUGAAGCUCUACAUAGGUAACUUGCCUCAAGGAGAGGGGCUUAUCCUUAUUCCUGAUUUUGUAGGAUUAACCUUUUUAAAGACUAGGAGCCCCAUGUAUCCAGUUUGAUUGACUUGCAUCUACCCCAGGACUUAGGACCGAGCUCGACACAUAGGGCUUGGUCAUGUCCAAGGGAAUGCCAGGCAGGAGUGACUGGGAGAGGGCUUUUUAGUCCUUGGAUCAUUUGCCCCAGUUACAAAAUACUGAAGGAAGAGAAACGGUGGAAGAUUCUUUAAGAGUACCGUGUCCCUGAAAAUGGAGAAGGCUUACCGUAUUUCCUGCAAUAUAAGUAUAUCUAUUCACACACAGGAUGUUGCUAGCUGUUUGGUUGUACCUCACCUGGCCCACCUCCCUGGAUAUUUGUACGUUAACCAUCACAAUGGACAGUUACUCGAUGGAUUAGUAAAAGUUAAGUGCGAGUUUGUAUUUGGAUAGGUAGGUUAGGAUAGGUAGAUGGUUAAGAUCAUAUGCCAGAUAUCUGAAAGCCUGAGAUGUAGCACAAAAAGCGAUCCAAACUCUGAAGAAGAAGUUGUCUAUGUCACAGAACCUGUGAUCAAACUGGCAAGGACAGAGGGGAAAAUAGAUUGAGGCAGAGCUGAAGGAGCAAAGCAAGGUGAAAACAGCAAGUCAAUACCUGAAAGGCAUCAGGACCCCCUCAGAUCUUGAAAGGGCAUUGACGGGGCAGCCUCCGGAACCAUGUGCCCCAUGAGGCAAGAGCCCGACUGGUCACUCCCUUGCGUGACCUGAUGAUGUCAUGUGCUAUGCUCUGUGUGACAUCAUCCCAUUGCACCAACUGCCCAGUACAGGAGGAGGCCCUCCCUGGAACCACCCACUCCAAUUUCAGAGAGCACCCACCCGCCUGCUGAACGCUGGGAGGAUGGGUGGGUGCCAGGCCUAGUGGGACGGGGGAGCGGGAGUGAAUACUCCACAGGGCAUGGCGGUGGUGGUGCUGGGGAGCUGGGUCAGAGCUACUGCUCCCACCCCGGCCACAACAGAACAUGAGCCAUUUUCCUGGCACUACCACUGCCAGGCCCAGCAGUUUUUGCCAGGCUAUGGAGAAAGACAAGGAGGUGGAGGAGGAGGAGGAGAAGGAGGGCAACACCAAGGGAGUUCCAUCCAUGCCUGACUCCCAGGGACGGUGCUGAGGCUGGGCUCUAGUUCUCUCCCUCUCCCUCUCCGUUCGCUCCUGCCUCCUGCCCUCUCCAACAGGACCCUGGCUCCCUCAGCCUCAUAUCCACACAUUCCCUCCUACAGACCCAUCCUCUUAUUGCCCACCAUGGCCCUCUUCCCCAGUAUCAUGCCAUGCAAUGCCCCCCAAACCUUGUGGCAGAGUUUUUUUCCAUCUCAGGGGAGAGUGGAGUUGAUGAGAGGCAAGGGAGGAUUACUGAAAAAGGAAAUCAACAUCGUUGCCUUACAUACGCAACCUCAGAGGGGCAUGGCAGGGGCUGUGCACAUACCUGUUGGCCAUCAUGUUGAAGGUUCUGGUUCAAGCGCCGUCUUGAAUGUCCCAAGAGGCCUCCACGUUGACUAUGCUGAGAGAAGUGCCAUCCCAUCUUCUGUGUGUAGCCCUGAGGAAACCAUUUACUUUUCUUGCCAUCAGAGGUUGACCUGUAAAUAUUCCCAAAAUAACUAGUUCAUUCUGCACUAUGAUGGUGUUACUACUAAAUACUGAAAAAGGAAAAAGGAACUUA